rnacentral:tRNA from 1 species
GGGGUUGUGGCUCAGCGGUAGAGCACUCGCCUAGCACGCAUGAGGCUCUGGGUUCAAUUCACAGUACCA